rnacentral:rRNA from 1 species
UACGUAGGGUGCAAGCGUUAAUCGGAAUUACUGGGCGUAAAGCGUGCGCAGGCGGUCUUGCAAGCCAGAUGUGAAAUCCCCGGGCUUAACCUGGGAACUGCGUUUGAAACUACAAGGCUAGAGUGUGGCAGAGGGGGGUGGAAUUCCACGUGUAGCAGUGAAAUGCGUAGAGAUGUGGAGGAACACCGAUGGCGAAGGCAAUCCCCUGGACCUGUACUGACGCUCAUGCACGAAAGCGUGGGGAGCAAACAGG